GUAGGGAAUUUUGCGCAAUGGGGGCAACCCUGACGCAGCAACGCCGCGUGAUUGAUUAAGCCCUUCGGGGUGUAAAGAUCUGUCAGUGGGGACGAAAUAUGACGGUACCCACAGAGGAAGCACCGGCUAACUCCGUGCCAGCAGCCGCGGUAAUACGGAGGGUGCAAGCGUUGUCCGGAAUCAUUGGGCGUAAAGAGUUCGUAGGUGGCAUGUAAAGUCUGGUGUUAAAGGCAGAAGCUCAACUUCUGUAGGGCACUGGAUACUUGCAAGCUGGAAUGCGGUAGAGGUAAAGGGAAUUCCUGGUGUAGCGGUGAAAUGCGUAGAUAUCAGGAGGAACAUCGGUGGCGUAAGCGCUUUACUGGGCCGUAAUUGACACUGAGGAACGAAAGCCGGGGUAGCAAAUGGGA
rnacentral:rRNA from 1 species